AUGUUGAUGAAGAUUGUUGUGUGUGUCAAAGGUCAUCUAAUAGAGAAUGACCAUCUAAAUCUUACUAAAGAUUUCAUUAUAAAGCAGAAUGAAGCACUGUGGUGGACUUUUGGUGCAGGAACUGAACUGACCAUCAGAACUGGUCCCGCAGUGAAGCCCUCCGUGUCUCUGCUGCCUCCCUCUUCUCUGCAGAUCUCUGGAGACUCAGCCGCACUGCUCUGCCUGCUCAGCUCUUACUCUCCACAGGGGGCGCAGGUGAGCUGGACGCUGGACGGGUCAGAGGUCACCGAGGGGGUUCAGACCAGCGCAGAGAGCGAGCGGGACGGACGCUACAGCCGCAGCAGCGUCCUGAGCCUCAGCAAAGCACGCUGGGAAGACGGCGAGCGCUUCGUCUGCAGAGUAACACAUGACGGAGCUGAUCACGAGACCUCGUUCCUCAAGAGCUCCACAAACAAGAAAUUAUGGGUGCAGGACUACUGA